AACGAACGCUGGCGGCAUGCCUAACACAUGCAAGUCGAACGAAGCCUUCGGGCUUAGUGGCGCACGGGUGCGUAACACGUGGGAAUCUGCCCUUCGGUUCGGAAUAACAGUUAGAAAUGACUGCUAAUACCGGAUGAUGACGAAAGUCCAAAGAUUUAUCGCCGAAGGAUGAGCCCGCGUAGGAUUAGGUAGUUGGUAGGGUAAUGGCCUACCAAGCCGACGAUCCUUAGCUGGUCUGAGAGGAUGAUCAGCCAUACUGGGACUGAGACACGGCCCAGACUCCUACGGGAGGCAGCAGUGGGGAAUAUUGGACAAUGGGCGAAAGCCUGAUCCAGCAAUGCCGCGUGAGUGAUGAAGGCCUUAGGGUUGUAAAGCUCUUUUACCAGGGAUGAUAAUGACAGUACCUGGAGAAUAAGCUCGGCUAACUCCGUG
rnacentral:rRNA from 1 species